rnacentral:rRNA from 1 species
GUGGUUCUAUUUUGUUGGUUUCUAGGACCGCCGUAAUGAUUAAUAGGGAUAGUCGGGGGCAUCCGUAUUCAAUUGUCAAAGGUGAAAUUCUUGGAUUUAUUGAAAACAAACUACUGCGAAAGCAUUUGCCAAGGAUGUUUUCAUUAAUCAGUGAACGAAAGUUAGGGGAUCGAAAACGAUCAAAUACCGUCGUAGUCUUAACCAUAAACUAUGCCGACUAGGGAUCGGUGGAUGUUAUCUUUUUGACUCCCUCGGCACCUUACGAAAAAUCAAAGUUUUUGGGUUCUGGGGGGAGUAUGGUCGCAAGGCUGAAACUUAAAGAAAUUGACGGAAGGGCACCACCAGGCGUGGAGCCUGC